CCAGGUUCAUGCCCAAGCUUUAUUUCAACAAAAUGCAAAAACAGAAGGGUUUUUGAUGCUCCCGGGCAAAAUGCUACCUUAAACAAUCACUUGAGCAAAUAGACUAAACUCCAACAUGGGUGCCAAAAUUAGGCUUGGAGAAAGGCAGCUGCUGGAAGUGGACGCAGACUGAACUCCAACAUAAGUGCCAUAACUCUAGAUCUAAUAACAAUAAUAAUAAAUAGGGAAGGUUCAGAUUCGCUACUUGUUCAUCACGGGGAGAAACGAUCUUGCAUUUCUCCGUUUUCUCAGCGGAGGAGAAGUGAUGUUGCAUCUUCUCCUCUCUUAUCAGCGGAGGAGAAGCGAUCUGGUUUUUUCUUCUCUCUUCCACCGAAUCCCAUCCAAAGAGUUAAACAUGGCUGCUGCGGUUCCCAUGCCGACCAUCCAAGCUGCCCCACCAUCGCCUUAUAACGACCAGAAAACGAAACAUCGAAGAGAAGAUACAAUUGAUUUAAGAUCUAUGUUGAGGGCCAUAUAUAAUCAUAAGAAUCAUGAGUUCACCAUCACCAAAGGCGACUGAUCCAAGAUCGCGCGCGCCAACAGUGUUCGUCAUCAUCGGCUUCUCACAUAUCAAAACCAAUAUAGAUUUACAGAGAUCCAUAAACCACAACCAACAGAGAUAGAGAUAAAGCGAUCAAGAAAAGAAGAAAAAACGUGGAGUAAAUUAGAGGAAAAAACCUUCGGCGUCGGAGAGAAAAGAAAUAGAGGAAGGGAAGAGGGAAACCUUUCCGUAGCGCCAUUUCCCGCUCUGUCCCCAAGACGAAGCAUGGCCUCAUGAACUACCUGGAAGACCUACAGAAUUUGAAUGCGCCACGCCUCGGCCCAAGGUGUUUCCAUGCGACGGCACCGACCUUGACCGGGCCGGUCUGCAAAAGAUGUUUCUCGA
rnacentral:lncRNA from 1 species